rnacentral:lncRNA from 1 species
UUGCACGUAUAAAUAAGGAAUUGCGCAUCCCUGAAAGUUGCGACUCUCUUAACAUGUCUGUACCUCUGCAAGAGAAACACAUUUAUAAAUAUCAGAAUUCAAUCUGAGUUCAUUUGGUUUGUCAUAUGAAAUAAUCUUUCCAAGUUAACAUUGCGUGAGCAAGUAAAAGGAUGCGCAGUUGCUCAAACAGUGGCUUAUCCGGGAGAAUCCACAAAUAUUCUUUAUUUCCUUUAAUACAGGCCCUCGUUUUUAUUCCACUGUUCUUUUUUUCUAAUGAUGAAAGACUAAUGUCUUCCUUCAUAACUUUUCCCUUUUUUUUGCCCAGCUGUCAAACACACAUAAUUAAAUCCAAAGUCCUUUUCUAUGUCUCCUUUCCUUUCGUGGUUUUGCUUUCCAUCAUUAACUUGCUCUAGUCUUUGACUAUCUCCUGGAUCAAUCACGAACUGAUGUGCACGAUUGUUUCAUUUAGCCUGCCGCACACGAAUCUGGCUCCAAUUCUUCUGUCUGUCAUUGUUUUCUUACCUCCUUCCUCUGCAGCUCGUGCUCCUUUCCAGGCCCCCCUUGCUUACUGGCACUACAUGUGGCGUGUACAUGCCCAUAGCUUUGCAAUCACGUGCUGCAGCUGCCACAACUUUUUGCUUCACCUCCAUCAUUGAAUCAAGCUCCUACGCCAUGGAGAGCCUCACAUCCACGUUUGGCUGCACCGACUCUGCCUCCUAUUGCUCCUCCUUUGUGACUUCUUUCACGUGUUCUUCUCCUUCCUCCAGGGUUCGCACUCGUGGCACACUCAUGAUAGCCAGAAAAUCUUGGCGAAAAGCAGCAAUCCUCAAUUUGUUAUUUUGCUUACAAAUAUCAGUGCUCAUGGCUUUCACCAAGCUGGCCAGGUUGCCCUGAUUUUUGUCUUGCACUUUGGAAGCCAUGGCGAUCAGCUCAUAACUACCAUGCUGAAGAUAGCCAGAUUGCUGUGGGGAACUAGAUACACAUAUACUAGAUUGGUUCUUUCUUCUUUUCUUAAACCUUUCCAGGAUACAUGACAUCCUUAUAUACUGAAUGCUUAAAGUGGUGCCUAAAGUACCUCUAAUCUCCCUCAGUUCAGAACCCCUUCUGCUACAGCAGAUAUCCUCCGUACGUUGCGGCUACAGGACCAUGUAGAAAGUGUAAAUGUUGAUGCGCUUACAUGUUACAGAUGAGUUUUGUGAAACUGAUAUGCAUGGUGUGCUUACCUUGAUUUAACUCAGUAGUAUGGUCAUGAAAAAAAUCCGUGCAAUAAAACUAUAGUUAUGGUAGAUUUAUAAAACUGAUAUGCAUAGAGUCCAAAAUUAAUUUACAGUUGCUUGUUUUCAAACUUCAAUAAAACUAUAGUUAUGGUAGAUUUAGAGCGUAAGCGUGUAAAACUUGUUUCAUUAAAUGAUAUCCUAAAUCCAAAUUAUUGCUUGCUUAUUUAGACAUGAUUAGAUUUCAUAAACUUUGGGUUUUCAGAAUCUUGACUUAUGAGGACAUGAAUAUGAACUCUUGCUUUUGUUACAAGCUACAACAGUUUUUGAAGUCACACUCUGUUGGGUUAAUGAACUGAAUGUGCCUUUUUUUUUUGCAAUGCAUGUCCUGGACAUUUAUUCAGGAAUUUGGUCGGAAAAUAGAUAAUAUGCCUCCAAUCUUACUAUCUGUAGUGUUCUAAACUUAAUAUUUUUAUAUUUCUUAGAUAUUAGUUGAUCAAAUGCAACAGCCUUUUGUUUUGUUAUAUGAUUCUGAAGUUUUUCCAAAUAUAUGUCGUCUAAUUUUAACGUUUGUUGCAGCUCACUUAUGCACCAAGAAUACACACUGCAUUUUCCGGGCCUGCAGUUUAUUCAAGGUUUAAAGAUGAUCGUUUACAUGCAUGCAAGGAGGAUGCCAAGUUUACCUGGGUCAGAGCACUUGAUUUUACACCUAACCAAUCUUUUGGGAAGUGUUCCACUCUUGUCAUAAAACUGGAUGAAGAUGCACUCAUGUCGUAUAUUCUCAAUACCUUACCUUUCUCGGGAGUGCUAGGGGAAUUGGCCAUUUCUUCGAUGGAUGUUGUUGGACCCUCGUCCAAAGCGGUUCCCCUUGUUGACUGCCCGCAUGGCUGUUCAGUAUCUUAUGAAGUUCUUUUUCGACUCAACUCUCUUGUUCACAUGGGGAAGAUAGUUGCAAAACAUGUAAAUGCUAAGCUGUUUGCAUUUCUUGAGCAAGUACCACUUCAUAUUUCAAGGAGGAUUUUCGAGAAAAUGAGCAAGUUAGAGUCUACGUGCUACGAACCUCUGCAAUUCAUCGAGUCUGAACUAAAGCUAACCCACAACGCUUUGCUGUCCAGUAAGAGGGAAGGUGAAGGAAAAUUAAUGAGGUGUUACAGAAUUCACAUUACUCCGUCAAAAAUAUACUGCUUGGGACCUGAGGAAGAAGCUUCAAAUUAUGUGGUUAAGCAUCAUUCUGAGUAUGCUUCUGAUUUUGUUAGAGUUACUUUUGUUGACGAAGACUGGAGUAAGCUUAGUGUUAAUGCAAUCUCAGCUAGAAUUGAACAAGGGUUCUUUUCUCAACCCUUCAAAACUGGCCUGUAUUACCGCAUUUUAUCCAUUCUUAAAGAAGGAUUUAUCAUUGGCCCAAAGAAGUUUGAAUUCUUGGCCUUCUCUGCAAGUCAACUUCGUGAAGGUUCUGUUUGGAUGUUUGCUUCUAAUGAUUCGUUGAAUGCAGAGAGUAUAAGAAGGUGGAUGGGCCACUUUGAAGAAAUUCGUUCAGUGUCGAAGUGUGCGGCUAGAAUGGGCCAGCUGUUCAGUUCUUCCAGGCAAACGGUUGAAGUCCGACCAUGGGAUGUGGAAGAGAUUCCAGAUAUUGAAGUCACAACUAAUAACACAAAAUACAUAUUUUCUGAUGGUAUUGGGAAGAUGUCUGUGAGAUUUGCCAGAGAAAUUGCUUACCGAAUUGGACUAGAUCAUACUAACCCUCCUUCAGCUUUUCAAAUAAGGUUUGGUGGCUACAAAGGAGUGAUUGCUGUUGACCCUUCUUCCUUUCGCAAUCUUUCUCUGCGACCUAGUAUGAGGAAAUUUGAAUCAGAUUGCAGGAUGCUUAACAUUACAAGUUGGAGCAAGUCCCAGCCAUGCUACGUGAAUCGAGAAAUUAUCUCUCUCCUUUCAACUUUGGGGAUAAGAGAUGAGGUAUUUGAGUUAAUGCAACAAGAUGAUAUGCGUGAAUUAGAUGAAAUGCUAACCAACAAAGAAGUUGCUUUGUCAGUCCUGGGGAAAAUUGGCAGUGCCGAAACUAAGACAGCAGCGGAUAUGUUGCUACAAGGUUAUGAACCAAUUUCCGAGCCAUACCUGUUGAUGAUUCUCAAAGCCCAUCAGGAUAAUAGGUUGACUGACAUAAGAUCUAAAUUUAAGAUUCAUGUCCCAAAAGGCCGUGUUCUUCUUGGUUGUUUGGAUGAGACAGGUAAAUUAAAAUAUGGUCAAGUUUACAUCAGAAUUACAAAGAACAACAAAGAGCAGAAAGAGAAUGAACAACCUUAUUUUUCUGAAGAUGAUGGGAAAACAGUCACUCUUGUUGGAAAAGUUGCAGUCUCGAAAAAUCCCUGUCUCCAUCCUGGUGAUGUCAGAGUUCUUGAAGCUGUCUAUGACCCUGGAUUGCAUGCUAAGAAGCUAGUUGAUUGUGUUGUCUUCCCUCAAAGAGGAGAAAGGUAUGCCAUAUAUGAUACUUAAACUGAAAGAUGAUCUUCAAAGUCUGAAUUAAUCCAUUUGAUCGAAGUUGUCAAUGCUUGCAUUUUUCUUACUUUAAUAUUUUGUGUUAAUUAGGCCUCAUCCAAAUGAAUGCUCUGGGGGCGAUUUGGAUGGUGACCUCUAUUUUGUCACUUGGGAUGACAAACUGAUUCCAGAGAAGGCUGACGCACCUAUGGACUACACUGGAGCAAGGCCACGUAUAAUGGAUCAUGUUGUUACACUCGAGGUAUGUUCCUGACUGCUUAUUCAUUUUUAUUUCCUUUUGGUUGUUGUUGCUAAUUUACUGAGGUAUUAUUCCAGUUGACCAGUAUCAGUUUUCUAUAGUUGCAAAUAUCAUCUUAGGAUUAGUAUUUUUAUGAAUUGUAGCAUUUCAAUCAUAUAGAUGUUGUUGACGUAAUGACGUCACAUCUUUGUAAAACACGUCUGUGCAUACCAAAAACUGAGAAAAAUGCACUAGGGCAAUAAGUGCACACACUUGAUGAAACAUGUGGUCCUAAUAGCGCGACACCAAAGAGAACUGGUUGCUAUCUUCCGAGUUCCGACUGAACUAGGAUGGCAUGGCAGCCAACGAGAAAUUUUCAAUGCUUUGAACCAAGUAUAUGCUCGCCAUAUACGGUCAACAAUGUUCUGUAGAAAUACGAGUACUCCUUUCAGAAAAAGAACAAAUUUUGCUGUCUGCCAACAAAAAAUUGUGCCUGAUUGUGUUUUAGGCCUUUCGCCAAAUCUUGGCUUUAAAGUGGUCUUCAUGGAAUGUUAAUCCCUAACCUUGCUAGGUUCACAAUUAUUUACUACCACCAAUCGGCCGUUCAAAGUUGUGUCUUGGACUAGUAACUGCAUUUUCCUCUAUGAUAGUUGUACCUGGAUUCUUACAAAGGCAUCUGAUUAACUGCAGGAAAUUCAGCAGCACGUCGUCAAUUACAUGCUAAGUGACUCACUCGGUGCUAUCUCAAAUGCUCACCUGAUCCAUGCGGACCGUGAUCCGAUGAAAGCUCGGAGUCCCGAGUGCCUCCAGCUCGCUGCUCUGCAUUCGAUGGCAGUCGACUUCGCCAAGACAGGAGCUCCAGCUGAAUUGCCUCGAUCACUGAGACCGAGGGAGUUCCCUGACUUCAUGGAACGAUGGGACAAACCGAUGUAUAUCUCAAAUGGUGUUCUCGGCAAGCUCUACCGAGCAGCUGUGAGCCGUAUGGAGAGCUCACAUGCUCUCGCAUCCCAAGUUCAAUCGAGCCCAACGUACGAUCGUGAGCUUGCGGUCCCUGGCUUUGAGGAAUUCCUGGAAGACGCAGAGAAGCACUACGACUUGUACGUGGAGAAGCUGACCACCCUGAUGAACUACUACGGCGCGGAGCAUGAAGACGAGAUCCUGACCGGCAACAUCCGGAACAGGCUGCUGUACCUGAGGAAGGACAGGAAGAGGUACUCUGACAUGAAGGACCGGAUCUUCGACUCGGUCAACGCCCUGCAUGAGGAGGUGCGGGGCUGGUUCAAGAACUGCCUGAAGGCGGAGGAGGAGGCGUCGAGGGUGGCGUCGGCCUGGUACCGUGUGGCAUACCACCCGGACCACCGCCGGCCGGAGAAGAAGCAGUUCUGGAGCUUUCCGUGGAUCAUCUGCGACAAGCUGCUAGCGAUCAAGGCGACUAAGUCCAACCGCUGCAGGAAACUAGUGGGCGUCGCAACGGGGGUGGACCCGAUGGACUGCGUCCCAGCGAAGCGUAUGCGCAGGAUAUAGUAAGUGGACUAUUCAGCUGCCUAAACUCCAAACGCUAUCGUGUUGUCGUUGGCUAGUCUUUGCCACCUUAUCCUCCAUCCUAUGAGAGGAGAUCCGUUGUUGGUUGAAUUUUGUAUAUAGUACAAUCUCUGCGUAAGUUAUCUGACAACGGAGAACUGAACAGAGCAGCCGAACUCGCCUGAAAUGAACGGGGAGAAUGUUAGGUAUGCUCGCGGUUAAUCAUGCUCCAUCACUAUAUUUAACGUGGCUUUGUGUCGAAUUCUGGUCGAUGGCAUGAGUACCUAACGAUCGGAAAUCCGUAAAGCAGUCCGAGCGCAGUUAAGCUCGGUAUCGGAAAUUCUGUAUGUUGUUGGAGCAUGCACAGCUGCAGAUGACCGAUGACUAUUUUAUACUCGUCCCAAAAUGACUUUUAUGUAUAUGUACUAGACGAUUUUUAGGCGUAGGCAUAGAUACAUUCAUGUUUGGAUAAAUUUGAGUCACUGCUCCGUCAGUCAGUAGGAUGAACUCAACAAUGCAACCGUCAGUGUCUUGGAGCAGCCGGCAGACGGGCAUGUGAAACUAUUCCGUAUUUUUUUUUGAGGGAAAAAACUGCUCCGUAUUAGCUAAGCCGUUACGCAAGGGACACCACCUCGCCGGCCGGCCCCGUAACCGUGGCCUCUUCCAGCUUUUGCAAAAAGAAAGCCAAAGUCGGCAGCUCGUGUUCUUUCAAAAAAAACACUCGGCACCUCGUCUCCUUUUUGGCUGCGCCUCUCCGUUCAUAUCCGGGGCACGUUUGGGGAAUGGCUCGGCCUCGCCGAUGUGUGGACAUCAGCUCUCUUGGGCCACGGGCAUGGCACUGUUGAAUGCGCAUUCACGCUCACGUCUUGGGAGAUUUCGAAUAAAAAGGAUGAGUGGUCUUCCGUAACAUCUCAACUCUGCCAUCCAUGAUCGUGGGUCGUCGCAGAUAUAAGUGCGAGGCCGGGGCUGAUAGUGGAAAUGACCUGACCGGGGCAAAGCCAUUUGAGUUCAGUGCUGCCAUGAGACUAGUCUUUCCCUUUUCUUGUUGAUUCAAAAGGACUAUCGGGAAUUUGAACGUGCGCGAGCAGCCUCCAAACACAUGCUCGCGUUCUCUUCUUGUCGACGUGCUCCGGAACUUCCAGGGCUCCUGCAUGCAAUGCAACGGCGAUACAGGCAAUCUUUAAGAGUCCGUACUGCACAAAGACACACAGUGCCCACGACAUAUCUCACGCCGUCGCUACAGACGCGUGCCAUUUGCCACGGAAGGUUGUUUGCCUUCACGAAUGUUGGCGUUGUACGUUGAACAAUUGAACAGCGAGUCCGUCACGUUGAGACUUGAGAGUUGAGACUUACGGCUGGAACGGAGCUCGGAACCGCCCGACCGUUGGCCCUUCGCCGUUACCUCGGCGGUAAACCGCAGCAAAAAAAGUGAAGCACAACGCAAACCCCGCAUGUCCAAGUCCAGUCCAAGCCGUCGUUCCUCCCUCCCACCAAACCCCCAUAGCGUCCUCUGCUCGCAACCUUCAAUUCCGCGUCUCCGGCGGCUAUCCUGGCCGGGCCGAGGUCAGCCAGCGGCGGCCAACGACCGGGAUGCCGGGGCCGGGGGCGCACCUGCUGUACGCCCUGUCGGGCGGGGCGGCGCUCUCGCGGCUCGCGGCGGGGGGCGGCGGCGGCAGACGACGCUUCGGGCCGCACCACUGCGCCGUCUACGCCGCCAACGCCUUCCUCGGCCCGGACCUCGGUUCCUUCGCCGAGUGGCUCGCGUCCUUCCUCCCCUCCGCCUCCGCGGCCGCCGCGGGGGACCUCGCCAUGGCCGUCGUCCACCACCCCUUCUACUACCCGCUCCUCCUCGGCCUCCCGCUCGCCUACCUGUACGCGUGGCUCUCACGGUGGAUCCUCCGCGCUGGCCUCCUCGACGCGCCCGGCGGGGUGGGUAGUGGAACCGAAUCAGAUGUUCCCUCCGUCUUCUCCUCUCCUAAUCUCCGUGCCCCAUUUCUUAAACUAAUCAACUUUUAUGCUGCGGCUAGAUACAUGGUCUUACUGCGAAUCUAAGUCACAUGCGAGAAGAAACUUUGGGAUUGUUAUUCUAUUAAUUCCUACUUAAUUAAGUAGGGCGUCUGUUACCUGUUACUCUGUUAGUACUACUACUUCAUCAUACAGUAGUGCCAACACGUUAAUUCGUUGCCUCCUUUCAUUUUAGUACAAAUGUGAGUAGCAACUAGCAAGUUCUAAGUAGAAUCUCAGCGUACAACUGCAAAUGCUGUCUCCAGAGUGAGAGUUCAGACGCCGUUAAUCAUCUAGCAUUUGUUUGAUAUGUUUCUUUAAUAUCGGUGUUGGUGCAGGUAGCAUUAAGCAAGAGACAGUGCUUCUUGCUUAUCACGGCAGGCUCUCUCUCACACUUCUUCUUGGAUCACUUGUUUGAGGUGAGCAAUCGUUUACACCUUUCUAAAUUAAAGGAAUGUACUCUGUGCUAAGAUAGGUCUUUAUAAAUGGGAGGAGUCAUUAGUUGACAAUUGUGUCCAGUUUAAUAAUGUUAGAGACCGUAGUAUUUCAAAUGAAAGGAUUGUUUUCUGAGGAAAAAUCUCUCUAAAAAACCUUUGCAAACCAUUUUUUAUUAUGAAAUGUACUUGCACAUUUUUUUAGAAGUUAAAUUUAUUAGGUUUGUUUCGAUACAUUAUGUGUUGCAUGCUUAUUCAAAUUAAAAUUUGCCUCACAUAUUUUACAGGAGAAUGGCCAUUCUACAAUGUAUACUUGGAUACUAAGCACUGGUUGGUGGAAAGGCCGUGCUCCUAUCAAUCCAGAUGCAGUGUUUGCUGUUGGCCUUCUUUGCAUUUGCCUAAUCGGGGGAUUUCUGUACAUAAACAGGUGACAAUUUAGCUUUAGGUCAAUUAUUAUGUAUAAAAAAUGUGAAUCUCCGGUUAUAAAAAAGCUUGGCGAUUCUUCAAAAUCCUGAGUCUCUCUAUGAACUACUCCAUCCGUUCCUAAAUAUAAGAAGUCCUAGGUUUGUCCUAAGUCAAACUUCUUCAGGUUUGACCAAGUUUAUAGAAAAAUCUACUAAUACCUACAAUAUAAUUUAAGUACACUAUGAAAAUAUAUAUAAUUACAGAUUUGAUAGAAGUGAUUUGGAGUUGUAGAUUUUGGUAGUUUUUCUAUAAAUGUGGUCAAACUUGAAGAAGUUUGACUUAGGACAAAAUUAGGACUUCUUAUAUUUAGGAACGGAGGUAGCACUAAGUAAUGGUGCACAAUGCAUAACCCUGAUUAGUCUGUUGAUUUAUGCUUGUUGACCCGAGUUUAGUUUCAGAAUGUUGCUUUAUGUUACGAGUCCCUUCCGUGGUUCUCUAAACCUUUAUAUUCUAUACUUUGGCAGAGUGAAGCAUGGAAGGUCAAUGACCGAAAAAUCAAAUCAAUCUUUCUUUCUCAUCCUGGUGAUAGCCACCCUAUACUGUAUGUGGUGUGCCAGUCAAAUAUAUCUGCGAAAUCCACCUCAACCAGCCAUAGGUGAAGAGGCUGAUCUUGGAGUGAUAAUCUUUCUUGCAAUUUACCUUUUUCUCC